rfam:Leptomonas pyrrhocoris LpyrH10_03, whole genome shotgun sequence.
AUGGGGUUUGAAUGCGCUGGGUGACGCCGGUUCGCCCGAGCGUGGGAAACGCCCCAAAGAGCC